GAUGAACGCUGGCGGCGUGCCUAAUACAUGCAAGUCGAGCGAACAGACGAGGAGCUUGCUCCUCUGACGUUAGCGGCGGACGGGUGAGUAACACGUGGAUAACCUACCUAUAAGACUGGGAUAACUUCGGGAAACCGGAGCUAAUACCGGAUAAUAUAUUGAACCGCAUGGUUCAAUAGUGAAAGACGGUUUUGCUGUCACUUAUAGAUGGAUCCGCGCCGCAUUAGCUAGUUGGUAAGGUAACGGCUUACCAAGGCAACGAGGCGUAGCCGACCUGAGAGGGUGAUCGCCGACACUGGAACUGGGACAGGGUCCAGGCUCCUACGGGAGGCAGCAGUAGGGAAUCUUCCGCAAUGGGCGAAAGCCUGACGGAGCAACGCCGCGUGAGUGAUGAAGGUCUUCCGAGCGUAAAACUCUGUUAUUAGGGAAGAACAAAUGUGUAAGUAACUAUGCACGUCUUGACGGUACCUAAUCAGAAAGCCACGGCUAACUACGUG
rnacentral:rRNA from 1 species